GACUUAAGAUGGCGGCGUUUGCACGGAGUGCAAUCACUGCGUCCUUACGGGGGUUGCAAGGCGUCCGAAGUAUGAGUCCACUAACAAAAGUCCAGAAACUCGCCAGUUAAUAGUAUUGUGUCUCUUCAAAAUAUCGGAGAAUAAUUUCUUUCUCGCUGAUCGCCUAACUUCUACUGACGAAGCUUGGAAGUUGCAGAAGCCAGACAUGAUGUAUUGAGUAAAAGGAACUUCGGUACACAGGCCUUUAGUGAUGUGGUGGUAAGAUGUAUGAUGGAGUUCGCUCUUGUUGCCCAGGCUGGAAUGCAAUGGCAUGACCUUGGCUCACUGCAACCUCUGCCUCCCCAGUUCAAGUGGUUCUCCUGCCUCAGCCUCCCGAGUAGCUGAGAUUACAGUUUCUUCAAAGGAAAGAAGCAACUGGAACACACAUAUAACACUAACCCUUCCAGCUGCAUUAUGAGGGACCAGUACCUGUCUCAAGGCAAAAUUAUGACUUAGUUCAUCCUCACCUCUGGAGGCCAGUAAAAGUGGGUUAUAGAAGAACAAAGAGGCAUCUAGAUCUUUCACUGGGUUAUUUGGAGAGAAACAUCUCCUACCGAAGGCCAGUUUAACAAGACUGGUAGAGGAGGUUAUCUUAUCUAAUUCACAGAAAUCAACACAUUGAGUCAAGAAAAAUGAAACACAGAAACACUCUAAAUAAAAGAAGAUAAGUCUUCAGAAACCAACCCUAAUGAAAUGAAGAUAUGUGAUUAACCUGACAGGAAAUUAAAAAGAGCAACCAUAAAGAGUCUCAUGGGAGCAAUGCAUGAACAAACUGAGAAUUUUCAUAAAGAAAUAAAAGAUAACAAAAAGUAUAAAGUUGAAGAAUACAAUAACUGGACUCAAAAAUUUAAUGUGUCCAACAGAAGAAUCGAUGAAGCAGAAGAAAGGGCUAUCAAACUUGUAGAUAGGCCAUUGGAAAUCAUGUAAUGUGAGGAGAAAAAAGAAAAAAGAUUGAAGAUAGUUUAAGAGACUUUUGAGACAUCCUCAAAGGGGAAUAAUUUAUACAUUACCAGAUGGAGAAGAUAGAGGGAAAAGGACAGAAAACAUAUUUGAAGAAAUAAUGUCAGAAAACCUCAUAAUUCUGGCAAGGAAAUAGAAAUUUAGAUCUAAGAAUCUCGAACAUCAGGUAUGAUGAAUCCAAGGAGACUCACACCAAACCAUAUUGUAAUUAAAUAAAGGUUAAAGACAAUCUUCAGAGCAGCAAGGGAAUAGUCUCUUCUUACAUACAAAAUGAUCCACGGAAGACUGUCAGCAGACUUCACCAGAAAACUUUCACGCCAGAAGGCAGUCGUGAUAUAUACAAAAAGCUGAAAGGAAAACACUGCCAUCCAGGAAUACUAUCUCCAACUAUCCUGUGUUUCAAAAAUUAAGGAGAAAUAUAAA
rnacentral:lncRNA from 1 species